rnacentral:rRNA from 1 species
UACGUAGGGUGCAAGCGUUGUCCGGAAUUAUUGGGCGUAAAGAGCUCGUAGGCGGUUUGUCGCGUCGAAUGUGAAAACCCGGGGCUCAACCCCGGGCCUGCAUUCGAUACGGGCAGACUAGAGUUCGGUAGGGGAGUCUGGAAUUCCUGGUGUAGCGGUGAAAUGCGCAGAUAUCAGGAGGAGCACCGGUGGCGAAGGCGGGACUCUGGGCCGAUACUGACGCUGAGGAGCGAAAGCGUGGGGAGCAAACAGG